UACAGAGGGUGCAAGCGUUAAUCGGAAUUACUGGGCGUAAAGCGUGCGUAGACGGUUAUUUAAGUCAGGUGUGAAAGCCCCGGGCUCAACCUGGGAAUUGCGAUGGAGACUGCAAGGCUUGAAUCUGGCAGAGGGGGGUAGAAUUCCACGGUGUAGCAGUGAAAUGCGUAGAGAUGUGGAGGAACACCGAUGGCGAAGGCAGCCCCCUGGGUCAAGAUUGACGCUCAUGCACGAAAGCGUGGGGAGCAAACAGG
rnacentral:rRNA from 1 species